AAAUUGAAGAGUUUGAUCAUGGCUCAGAUUGAACGCUGGCGGCAGGCCUAACACAUGCAAGUCGAACGGUAACAGGAAGCAGCUUGCUGCUUCGCUGACGAGUGGCGGACGGGUGAGUAAUGUCUGGGAAACUGCCUGAUGGAGGGGGAUAACUACUGGAAACGGUAGCUAAUACCGCAUAACGUCGCAAGACCAAAGAGGGGGACCUUCGGGCCUCUUGCCAUCGGAUGUGCCCAGAUGGGAUUAGCUUGUUGGUGGGGUAACGGCUC
rnacentral:rRNA from 2 species